rnacentral:sRNA from 1 species
UGCAGACUCGCCCCCAGAGCGGGGCCUGCGGCCCAAAGAGGGCGCCUACUAUGUGUGGACGGUCAAAGAGGUUCAGCAGCUCCUCCCGGAGCCUGUGUUGGGUGCCACUGAGCCGCUGACCUCAGGCCAGCUCCUCAUGAAGCACUACGGCCUCACAGAGGCUGGUAACAUCAGCCCCAGUCAGGUGAGGACUUCUGGGGUCACCUGACGGGCCCUGGUGCCUGCCAGGCAUGUGAGCUCGCAGACAAAGGCCAUUCUCCUCAGGACCCCAAGGGGGAGCUGCAGGGCCAGAAUGUGCUGACCGUCCGGUACUCGCUGGAGCUGACUGCUGCCCGCUUUGGCUUGGAUGUGGAGGCCGUGCGGACCUUGCUCAAUACAGGGCUGGAGAAGCUCUUCCAGGCCCGGAAGCAUCGGCCCAAGCCGCACCUGGACAGCAAGAUGCUGGCUGCCUGGAAUGGCUUGAUGGUGUCAGGCUAUGCUGUGACUGGGGCUGUCCUGGGCCAAGACAGGCUGAUCAACUAUGCCACCAAUGGUGCCAAGUUCCUGAAGCGGCACAUGUUUGAUGUGGCCAGUGGCCGCCUGAUGCGGACCUGCUACACCGGCCCUGGGGGGACUGUGGAGCACAGGUUGGGGGCUGGGUAGACCGGGAGGGCUCGUCUCCCCCACGCGUCCCCAGCCUACCUCUGCCCUACUUCUCCCCUCCAUGUGGACUCCAGUCCUGGCUCUGCCAGGUGCUUGCUGUGAGUUUGUAGCCUCCCUGGGCCCAUUUACUCAUCUGGGAAGUGGGCUGAUGGCACCUGCCCAAGAGGGUUCAUCUGGAGGGUUAAGUGAACAAAUGGGUGAAAGGGCCUCCUCUGGGAAAGGCCCUCUCUCCUGGGGCUUUCCC